ACACAUGCAAGUCGAGCGGAGACAGUGAGUAGCUUGCUAUGAGCUGUUUUAGCGGCGGACGGGUGAGUAACGCGUGAGCAACCUUUCCCAGACAGGGGAAUAACACACCGAAAGGUGUACUAAUACCGCAUAAGACCACGGGAUCACAUGGCUCUGAGGUAAAAGAUUUAUCGGUUUGGGGUGGGCUCGCGUCCGAUUAGGUAGUUGGUGAGGUAACGGCCCACCAAGCCGACGAUCGGUAGCCGACCUGAGAGGGUGAUCGGCCACAUUGGGACUGAGACACGGCCCAAACUCCUACGGGAGGCAGCAGUGGGGAAUAUUGGGCAAUGGAGGAAACUCUGACCCAGCAACGCCGCGUGGAGGAAGAAGGUUUUCGGAUCGUAAACUCCUGUCCUUGGAGACGAGUAGAAGACGGUAUCCAAGGAGGAAGCCCCGGCUAACUACGUGCCAGCAGCCGCGGUAAUACGUAGGGGGCAAGCGUUGUCCGGAAUAAUUGGGCGUAAAGGGCGCGUAGGCGGCUCGGUAAGUCUGGAGUGAAAGUCCUGCUUUUAAGGUGGGAAUUGCUUUGGAUACUGUCGGGCUUGAGUGCAGGAGAGGUUAGUGGAAUUCCCAGUGUAGCGGUGAAAUGCGUAGAGAUUGGGAGGAACACCAGUGGCGAAGGCGACUAACUGGACUGUAACUGACGCUGAGGCGCGAAAGUGUGGGGAGCAAACAGGAUUAGAUACCCUGGUAGUCCACACUGUAAACGAUGAAUGCUAGGUGUAGGGG
rnacentral:rRNA from 1 species